CGCCAGUCGCCGCCGCGCGCGCCGAGGACGAGCCUGCGGCCCCGGGGCCCCGGCAGCCCGGGCAGCGAGCACGGCCGCUUCUGAGGAGCCUCCCGCUGAGGAUGGGGAACCACGUGGGCAAGCGCGAGUUGAACGUGGAGAAGUCCGCUAAGGAGGCCGACACGCACAGAGGAGAACUCGAGAGGAAGAGGAACCUCCGAGAGCUGGCGCAGAGCUCCUCUGAAGACAACGAGGUGUUUGGAGAGCCAGAUGCGAGCCACAACAAUGGGGUCUCGGCUAGGGACACGGUGGUGACAGACUCCAGGAGCACAACCGACCCAAAGAAUGCCUGGCAGGACGCCCGCCCAGCUGACCCCAGGGGCCGCCCCCACUUGAUCCGCCUCUUUUCCCGAGAUGCCCCGGGCAGGGAGGACAACACCUUCAAAGACAGGCCCUCCGAGUCCGACGAGCUCCAGACCAUCCCAGAAGACAGCACAGCAGCUCCGCAGGACACUGACGCGAUGGCGUCCCAGAAGAGGCCCUCCCAGCGGCACGGCUCCAAGUACCUGGCCACAGCGAGCACUGUGGACCAUGCCCGCCAUGGCUUCCUGCCCCGGCACAGGGACACGGGCUUCCUCGACUCCAUCGGCCGCUUCUUCAGUGGCGACAGGGGUGCGCCCAAGCGGGGCUCUGGCAAGGUGAGCUCCGAGGAGUAGGGCGCCUCGAUGUUGGUGGGCACGGGACAGAAGGCCGCUGGGGGGCCUGUUGGCAGAAGGACUUGGCCAGUGGCCUCCCAGCGGGGCAGGGCGGGGUGCCCAGGCACCCUCCUCUCCAUAAGGGAUGGUAAUUGGGCGUGGCCCAGGAACACAAGGACCUAUGACCGCCGAGGUGGCCUGGCGUGUGGGCUGUGAGGCCAGUGCCGUGUUCUCAUGCACGUGGGGACUUGCGCCUGACUGUGCCUCUGCUUCCCCCACUUCUGGGCUGUGUCCUGAGCCACUGGUCACUCACUGCUUGGUGACAUGCAUAAGGUAGCUCAGGACUUGGAGCAAACGCCCUGCCGUGAGUCUGCCUCAAGUUGUGUGCUUUCUCUUUGGUCUGAGCUGUGUCCUGGGGCGAGGUGGGGAGUGCUUGGGGGUCUGCAAGUCCAGCCCUGGUCACUGGGGGUGGCACUCUUGCGAAUCACCUUGACAUAUGUGCUGUAGGUGGAAAUCUCUCCUCAUGGGGUCGGCUGGUAUCCCCUAGGGACCAGGUGGCAUGACUGACACCUUGCCCAGGAACUGAGACCCAGCUGGCAUUCCAACCACAAUGUAGACUUGCCUGUGGUCAGCUGGUCCAUGUCCCCUGGCUUUACAUGGCUUUUGAGUAAAGUGGCAGGCCCAGGCCCUCCGUGCCAUACCACACCUUAUAAAACCACCAGGCCCCUAGCACUCUUCUCUCCCUAACCAUAGUCGUUGACAUGAUUGGUGACGGCAAAACCCUUGAAGACAAACCCAGAUGCCAGGACUUACUGCCCUAUGGCAUCAAAGCACUCUGGCUUCUGGAUACCCACCCAGCCCCACCAUGGGCUCCGGGUCCAGGGCAUAGGGUGGUGUGACAUGGCCAUGCCCGGUGUGGGAACAGCGCUUGGUGAAGCCUCAGUGUUGCAAGAUUCCCCUGUCCCACUGGCCCCUGCAGUGUCAUUCACGAAGGUGACUGCCACGCAGCGCCCUGCCUCGUGCCCACUUCCCCAGGAGUUGGCUUACCUGGCAGGACUGGCAAGCCAUGGCCAUGCCAGGACUGUGACCUUCCUAGGGUGUUGGGCUCUUAGGCCGAACCCCGUGCCAAGGGGUGGCAGUCGGAGACCUCAGCCAUGGAGUGUCACUCAGGGACAGGGACCACCUGCUUAGACAAUGCGGUGUGAGCCAGCGAGCACCAAGCCAACCUCAGGCAGCAGUGCUGGUCUCGGGGAAGCGGCAUGUCACCAGCAUGACAUUUGGCAGAGCACAUAGGUGUGCAUAUGAACACAUACACAUGUGUCCUUUAAAAUCAUGAGCGUUUUCCCAAAGAUUCAGAGUGAGUGAAUCUCCUUGGCGAUAGAUUAUCCAGGAUUUAAAAAAGGAAAAAAGGUUCUGCAGUCUUUUGUGAAAGUAGAGGUUGUAAAUAGCUGGCUUUGAAACACUGAGGCGCCCACGGACUUUACUGCUGACCUGAGCAAGGCAGAGGAGGGUCCUGUGGGGGCCCGGACCUGGGAAGAAGGCAGCCUGAGGACUCAGCCUAUCCCCGCCCCCCUCCAGUCGGUGUGGGGCAGCCAAGCUCCACUGCUCCACACCGACUGCAGGUGGAUUCCUGCAAGGCCUCCCGGGACAGCCAUGCACCCCCUUCCACUCUCAGCACCCCAGUGGGGCUGUGCAUCGCCCACCCCACAGCACCCCUGCCCUCCCCCGCAGCCCCAGGCCUGAUGGGUCCGGCCAUCCCUGGGCUGUAUAACCCUCCUCGACCUCUGGGGCUGUUGAGGGUGCGGGUGCAUUCCUCAGCGUGCCCUCCUGGGCUGUGGGAAGUCAGGGCAGCCUGUCUGCUGCCCAGGCCCUCAGGGUGGCUCUGGGGAAAGAUGGAGCUACACCCCACCACCACUUCACUGCUGUCACCAAGCUAAGGAUGGGGCCCAUGGGGACCUGGUGGCUGAUCCUGUGGCUCUGUGGUGGAAGGAGGGGCUCCCAGAGGAGGCAGCACCCCUGCCCGCCCAGGCCGCCCGCACUGAAGCUGCUCACACUGCUGCGUGAUUGAUGGUGAAAGCCCUGGGUGUCAGCCUGCUGGUGCUGUGUGACUCAGCGUGCCCGGCCUCUCCCUCAGGCUGGGCAGCGGCGAGCACUCAGCCAGGCUGCACAGAGUUCAGCCAGCUGGUGCCUGGCUUUGGUGGCAUUUCAGUUUGCCAAGUGACCCGCUUCUGUAGGGCUGACAUGGUCUCCCCCGUGUGGCAUGUGCCUGGCAGCUUGUGGGAGGCAAUGGUGUGUGCCCAGAGAGCAGCAGGAAGAAGGCACAGCCCAUCCCUGUCUCUGAGGGCCAAGACCAGGCGCUCAGGAGGAUGGCAGGCGUGGCCAGAGAUGCUGCAGGAGUGGGCAUGCUCGGCUCUGCCCUGGCAGACGCUGGCGCAGAGCUCCUGCAGGAUCUUGCUGAAGCAGUGUUGCCCUGAUGGGCGACUGUCCACCUGCUCUGUCCUGCUGUCUCCCGUGGGUUGUCUCCCGUGGGUUGUCUCCCGUGGGCCAUCUCCCGUGGACUGUCUCCCGUGGGCCGUGGCGUGGCUGGGGAAGUUAAGUUUGUGUAUUUAAGGGGGGAGUGCCUUCUGGGGACUGGAUCACAACUUGGUUUGUGACACAUUUUGCUUCCUGUGUAUUUCUGCCUUUGUAUGCACUUAUUAAAACAAUGUACCAGACCA